GAUGAGUGCUGGAGGAGGAAUGGGAAGAGGGCAAGCUCCAUAGCAACAGCGCGCGGCGCCUUCAGCAGAAAGAGUAAAGGAGGAAGGAAGAGAGAGAGAAAUGUAGAUGUGAGAGAGAAUGAUUGGUUGCCUUCCCCCACCGUGAAUCGGACCUGUGCCCUGUACCAGAAUCAAAUUGGCCGAGAGGACGCACAACCGAGCCACAGCAGCCAAGGCUGUUUUUAUUUUUUAAUGAGACCUUAAUUUGUUCAUAUAUCCCCAUAAUUGAUAAAUCUCUAAAAUGGAAUCACAAUCACAACCAUGAAAAGAGUAAGGAGAAUCUGGAACAUCAUAAAGCAUCUUCAGUUAACUUUGAGAGGUGGGGUAAAGAGAGAUUUCAUUAACAUGCUGUGUUAACACUCUCCACCAUGGUCUAAUUAAAUCAUGAAUAGAAGCCAUUGAAGGGAGCAGUUAAUUCAAUUCUGUUAUUUAUUGUCUAACAUUGUCCUUGACACUAUGGUAGAUGCUUUGCAGAUCUUAGGAACUUUGCUCCAAGCUAGUUUACACUCUUGAAUGUCUAUGAAAAUAAAAGGUCAAAAAUA